GCCCUGGUAGCUCAAUUGGUUAGAGCGUCGGACUUUUACGGAUUCAUGCUGUAAUCGAGUCAUCCGAAGGCUGCGGGUUCGACCCCCGCCUGGGGCG